CGUUGCUGUGCCUUAGUGCGCAUGCGCGAAAUGUGUGCAUUCACUACUGGGGGUGUUCGCUCCUCGGCGCGACGGAAGACGACAGGUGUGGCGGUUCAUUAACACAGCGUUGUUCUCAUCCAACAUAUACUAAAACAUAUUAAAAAGAAAACGGUUUCUUCAUCCAUGGAGACACGCAACGUACAGAAACAUCAACGUUAUGAGGACUCCACCUUCCCCAUGUUGGAUUCUAAUGACCAGAUGACGCAGCAGAGCAUGAGGAGGGAUCCACAGGACGUGGUGCAUGUAAACAACAGAGGGAACAAGCGACGUCUCCAAAGUCGAUGAUGGUCCGUUUUCUGCCUGACCCAACAGCUGGGUUGUGGGUGUCAGCUGGAUUAUUCAUCUUCUCUGUGCAUAAUUGGGAUGAGCGGAGCCUCUGUGCUUCUGUGCUCUGGGCAGCAAGAAUCCCGAUACAAACCCAUCAUUCAGAAGAAUAAAGAAACUCUGAUUCCGGCUCCGGCCACAAGGCUCAGAUGUCAGCUGUAGCGGGUACAUGACGGGGGUCUGUGAGAAGAAUGCAGCGGGGGAUUAACAGGCUCAUUUAAUCUGACUCCAUGAAUGGAUGAAGAGGAGGGAAGGGAGAGGGGUAAACAGGUCUAUGCUCAGGGUGUGUGUGUGUGUGUGUGUGUGUGUGUUGUCACUGUAAUAGAAUCUGAUCUUCCCGACAGCUUCAGGAAAAUGGAAAAUAGUUUGAGUUACAAACGUUCCCUACACGUUUUAAAUGACAGGAAGCAUUAUUCAGUAGACAAAGGUGCAUCAGUGACACAAACAUAGCGUCUCUUCUCCUCUGAGACAGCAGAGAGCGAACGCAAACUGACUCAUGCUUUACGUUUCUUACACACGGGCGCUACAGAGAGAUUUUCUUUCAAUGCAGAAAGACGCUGAAGACAAAAUAUAGAGCAAGACAUUAAAAAUGAACAGGAAUUAAGUUCUGCAUCCAUUAAAACAAACAAUAGAAAAGAAAGGACGGUCGGUAUAUUUAAAGCUGCCAUGAAAAACUAUAUCUUCAAAUAUGUGCCUGAUAAAAAAAAAAAAAAGUAAAUGUAUGUAUCACCCUGAAAAUACUGUAAUAUGCUGUAAAAACAGUCUCCGUAUGUAA